UACGAAGGGGGCUAGCGUUGCUCGGAAUUACUGGGCGUAAAGGGCGCGUAGGCGGAUAUCUAAGUUGGGGGUGAAAUCCCGGGGCUCAACCUCGGAAUUGCCUUCAAAACUGGAUAUCUUAGUGAGUUCGGGAGAGGUGAGUGGAACUCCGAGUGUAGAGGUGAAAUUCGUAGAUAUUCGCAAGAACACCAGUGGCGAAGGCGGCAUCCUGGACCAAUACUGACACUGAGGAGCGAAAGCCAGGGGAGCAAACGGG
rnacentral:rRNA from 1 species